AUGCAAGUCGAACGGACGAGGAGGAGCUUGCUUCUCCGAGUUAGUGGCGGACGGGUGAGUAACACGUGAGCAACCUACCCUUGAGAGGGGGAUAGCUUCUGGAAACGGAUGGUAAUACCCCAUAACAUAUAUUUUAGGCAUCUAAGAUAUAUCAAAGAAAUUCGCUCAAGGAUGGGCUCGCGUCUGAUUAGAUAGUUGGUGAGGUAACGGCCCACCAAGUCGACGAUCAGUAGCCGGACUGAGAGGUUGAACGGCCACAUUGGGACUGAGACACGGCCCAGACUCCUACGGGAGGCAGCAGUGGGGAAUAUUGCACAAUGGGGGGAACCCUGAUGCAGCGAUGCCGCGUGGAGGAAGAAGGUUUUCGGAUUGUAAACUCCUUUUAACAGGGACGAUAAUGACGGUACCUGAAGAAAAAGCUCCGGCUAACUACGUGCCAGCAGCCGCGGUAAUACGUAGGGAGCGAGCGUUGUCCGGAAUUACUGGGUGUAAAGGGAGCGUAGGCGGGACGGUAAGUCAGGUGUGAAAUAUACGUGCUCAACAUGUAGACUGCACUUGAAACUGCUGUUCUUGAGUGAAGUAGAGGUAAGCGGAAUUCCUAGUGUAGCGGUGAAAUGCGUAGAUAUUAGGAGGAACAUCGGUGGCGAAGGCGGCUUACUGGGCUUUUACUGACGCUGAGGCUCGAAAGCGUGGGGAGCAA
rnacentral:rRNA from 1 species